rnacentral:lncRNA from 1 species
CUUUCAAUUUGUCUUUUAGUUUGGAAUGUGGAAUACUUGUGUAAAGAGUAGAAAAGUCAAAUGUUUAAAUACUGUUACAAGAUGAAAGAGAGUUAGAUUGUAUGUACUCUAAAAGAUCUUUGGAAUUUUUAAGUAUCCACAUCUGAUUCACGCCACCUCUAGACUAGGCAGUUUCACAAUAACUUUGAAGCCCGUCUUUGAUUGCUGAUAAAAUAGAUGUUAAUAAUUUAGAAAGAUGUUUUGUGGAGCACUUGGAAGACCCAGCAAUAUACCGUUGUUUGUAAGGACAUUUAUGUAGUUUAGGUAUCCAAUACAGUGAUGGAAGAUCCAGUUUUUCAUCUUUGGUUGAAAUUCCAAAGGAACAUAGAACAGACCUAUGAUUAUCCAGGAUUUCUUCUUUGGUAAGUGUCGUGAGGGUAUAUGUUGAGUUUCCAAGUGAAUUGUCAAUACCUAAUUCGUUUAUCAAGCAGUUGAUGUAAUGACUUUU